UUAUUUCAGGAUAGGAAUGCUUGGACAAGAUCAUUCUGAACAGUGGCAGAGUACAGCGCGCUGGCUUCUCUGGCCAGGUAGAGCAACAUACCAGUCUUGUUUUUCCAGCAAAAAAUGCGGGAAGUUGUAACAGAGCAAGACAUCACUAGCAAAUUGGAAAAGGCCUCAGGAAAAGUAAGAGACAACACUUUUUAACAAGCCAAACUUGUUCACUCAUUUGUUUAGCCACA
rnacentral:lncRNA from 1 species